rnacentral:rRNA from 1 species
UACGGAGGGAGCUAGCGUUGUUCGGAAUUACUGAGCGUAAAGCGCACGUAGGCGGCGACUCAAGUCAGAGGUGAAAGCCCGGGGCUCAACCCCGGAACUGCCUUUGAAACUAGGUUGCUAGAAUCUUGGAGAGGUCAGUGGAAUUCCGAGUGUAGAGGUGAAAUUCGUAGAUAUUCGGAAGAACACCAGUGGCGAAGGCGACUGACUGGACAAGUAUUGACGCUGAGGUGUGAAAGCGUGGGGAGCAAACAGG